UUGAAAGGGAAACGAUUGAAGUCAGUCGUACCUGCGGACAAUCAGCUUUUUGAGUGUGAUUAUGUGGAUUGUGAGGAGUUUAAUUACCCUCAUGUUUUACGUAUUCGUGCUCUUGGGUGUACUUGCCCGUGUGGUAGGUUAACAUCAAUUUUGGUCGUCAUAAAAUGACUGGAGGAAUGUAGCUUUGGUCUCGUAUCGAAGUGUUAUAGACUCUGGUAGAUGUGACGAUUGGGAUUGAGGAUUGCAACGGAUACCCUUCGGGGCUACUCGUCUGAUCUCUGAAGGUUGCUCCGGUACCGAAAGCGUGCUUACGGUCAUCGAAAGUGAUUUUCAAAAGGUUAGAACGGGUUAAAUUCGUUAAGGAUGUUGACGUA
rnacentral:rRNA from 1 species